GACGAACCGUGCGAACGUUGUCCGGAAUCAUUGGGCGUAAAGCGCGUGUAGGCGGUCCGGUAAGUCCGCUGUGAAAGUCGGGGGCUCAACCCUCGGAUGCCGGUGGAUACUGUCGGGCUUGAGUACGGAAGAGGCGAGUGGAAUUCCUGGUGUAGCGGUGAAAUGCGCAGAUAUCAGGAGGAACACCAAUUGCGAAGGCAGCUCGCUGGGACGUUACUGACGCUGAGACGCGAAAGCGUGGGGAGCAAACAGG
rnacentral:rRNA from 1 species